rnacentral:rRNA from 1 species
GAUGAACGCUGGCGGCGUGCCUAAUACAUGCAAGUCGAGCGAACGGACGAGAAGCUUGCUUCUCUGAUGUUAGCGGCGGACGGGUGAGUAACACGUGGAUAACCUACCUAUAAGACUGGGAUAACUUCGGGAAACCGGAGCUAAUACCGGAUAAUAUUUUGAACCGCAUGGUUCAAAAGUAAAAGACGGUCUUGCUGUCACUUAUAGAUGGAUCCGCGCUGCAUUAGCUAGUUGGUAAGGUAACGGCUUACCAAGGCAACGAUGCAUAGCCGACCUGAGAGGGUGAUCGGCCACACUGGAACUGAGACACGGUCCAGACUCCUACGGGAGGCAGCAGUAGGGGAUCUUCCGCAAUGGGCGAAAGCCUGACGGAGCAACGCCGCGUGAGUGAUGAAGGUCUUCGGAUCGUAAAACUCUGUUAUUAGGGAAGAACAUAUGUGUAAGUAACUGUGCACAUCUUGACGGUACCUAAUCAGAAAGCCACGGCUAACUACGUG